rnacentral:rRNA from 1 species
GUUAGUUUUACCCUACCGAUUAUUUGUUAUCGCAAUAGUAAUUCAGGUCAGUACGAGAGGAACCCCUCAUUCAGAUAAUUGGUAAUGCGGUUGCCUGAAAAGCCAAUGCCGCAAAGCUACCCUCUGUUGGUUUAGGGCUGAACGCCUCUAAGUCCGAAACCAUGCUAGAAAGCUAUGAUAUUCACCUCUUUCUUGGUUCUUAACGAGUACCGAUAUAUUGAAACCAUAAGAUCCGCCCGGCCGUCAAAGGCCGACGCAGUGAAUAAUAAUUUCAAAUCUUGAAAGAGAUAGAUCCUUUGUAGACGA